CUGCCGCCAUCUUGGUUCCGCGUUCCCUGCACAAAAUGCCCGGCGAAGCCACAGAAACCGUCCCUGCUACAGAGCAGGAGUUGCCGCAGCCCCAGGCUGAGACAGGGUCUGGAACAGAAUCUGACAGUGAUGAAUCAGUACCAGAGCUUGAAGAACAGGAUUCCACCCAGGCAACCACACAACAAGCCCAGGUGGGUAUUCUCUUACUAACUGGUAUUGGGUCAAAGAAGCAGGGUUGAUCAGGGCAACUUUUGUAUUUGGAACUGUGAACCUUCAUAAAGGAAAACCCACAAGGAGAUUGUGCUAUCCAGAUCUUAGAUUCUGGUUAACUAAUAGCUGUUUUAUCUUCUUAGCUGGCGGCAGCAGCUGAAAUUGAUGAAGAACCAGUCAGUAAAGCAAAACAGAGUCGGAGUGAAAAGAAGGCACGGAAGGUAAGAUUUGAAAAGGAUUUCAGGAUCUUAUGAAGCACCUUUAUACAGAGUGGAACUGUUUAUUUCCAUAGGUUUUUGGGGAACAGGUGGUAUUUUGGUUAUACAAGUAAGUU
rnacentral:lncRNA from 10 species